rnacentral:tRNA from 1 species
GCCCAGGUCGAGGGAGGGGGUCUCAGCGGACUCAUAAUCCGUCGGUCGCAGGUUCGAAUCCUGCCGGGCC